AGUUCCCUUCGCAGUUUUGAACAAAGGUAUUGUGUUUUACUGCAAAAAAAGGCGUUGCGCUCCAUUAAUCUGCGAUCGCAGCUUCUCCAAAGUUGUGCUUCUCAGCACCAAGAAGCAGGAACCUGGAACCAGACUAGAAACCGCCGAGAUUCAGCUCCAGUGUCCCGUGGAUCCGUUUGCUGGGAGAUGGAGGCUUUUUCGCAGGGGCUCGCCGGUGUUUUCACGGACAUCCGAACGCGGCGCUUCCUGCGGACACACUCAGCUGCGGAAUGGGAGCUGGGAUUCGGGCCGAGCAUCAGGCGUCGGGGAAGAUGUGGCCCGUUUAUGCAGAAUCAGCCGCCCUUCCCAUCGAAGCCCACGGUGUCGGGUGUGAAAGAGCAGGGAGGAGGAGGAGGAGGAGCAGAUGGAGAAAGACGCAA